GCCGAGCGGUAGAGAUUCUUCGGAAUCUUGAGAGCGGCGUACGGGUGCGGAACACGUGUGCAACCUGCCUUUAUCAGGGAGAUAGCCUUUCGAAAGGAAGAUUAAUACCCCAUAAUAUAUUAAGUGGCAUCACUUGAUAUUGAAAACUACGGUGGAUAGAGAUGGGCACGCGCAAGAUUAGAUAGUUGGUGAGGUAACGGCUCACCAAGUCUACGAUCUUUAGGGGGCCUGAGAGGGUGAUCCCCCACACUGGUACUGAGACACGGACCAGACUCCUACGGGAGGCAGCAGUGAGGAAUAUUGGACAAUGGGUGAAAGCCUGAUCCAGCCAUCCCGCGUGAAGGACGACGGCCCUAUGGGUUGUAAACUUCUUUUGUAUAGGGAUAAACCUAGAUACGUGUAUCUAGCUGAAGGUACUAUACGAAUAAGCACCGGCUAACUCCGUGCCAGCAGCCGCGGUAAUACGGAGGGUGCAAGCGUUAUCCGGAUUUAUUGGGUUUAAAGGGUCCGUAGGCGGAUCUGUAAGUCAGUGGUGAAAUCUCACAGCUUAACUGUGAAACUGCCAUUGAUACUGCAGGUCUUGAGUGUUGUUGAAGUAGCUGGAAUAAGUAGUGUAGCGGUGAAAUGCAUAGAUAUUACUUAGAACACCAAUUGCGAAGGCAGGUUACUAAGCAACAACUGACGCUGAUGGACGAAAGCGUGGGGAGCGAACAGGAUUAGAUACCCUGGUAGUCCACGCCGUAAACGAUGCUAACUCGUUUUUGGAUUUUCGGAUUCAGAGACUAAGCGAAAGUGAUAAGUUAGCCACCUGGGGAGUACGUUCGCAAGAAUGAAACUCAAAGGAAUUGACGGGGGCCCGCACAAGCGGUGGAUUAUGUGGUUUAAUUCGAUGAUACGCGAGGAACCUUACCAAGGCUUAAAUGGGAAAUGACAGGUUUAGAAAUAGACUUUUCUUCGGACAUUUUUCAAGGUGCUGCAUGGUUGUCGUCAGCUCGUGCCGUGAGGUGUUAGGUUAAGUCCUGCAACGAGCGCAACCCCUGUCACUAGUUGCCAUCAUUAAGUUGGGGACUCUAGUGAGACUGCCUACGCAAGUAGAGAGGAAGGUGGGGAUGACGUCAAAUCAUCACGGCCCUUACGCCUUGGGCCACACACGUAAUACAAUGGCCAGUACAGAGGGCAGCUACACAGCGAUGUGAUGCAAAUCUCGAAAGCUGGUCUCAGUUCGGAUUGGAGUCUGCAACUCGACUCUAUGAAGCUGGAAUCGCUAGUAAUCGCGC
rnacentral:rRNA from 2 species